rnacentral:rRNA from 1 species
AGGGUUCGAUUCUGGCUCAGGAUGAACGCUGGCGGCGUGCUUAACACAUGCAAGUCGAACGGGAUCCAUCAAGCUUGCUUGGUGGUGAGAGUGGCGAACGGGUGAGUAAUGCGUGACCGACCUGCCCCAUACACCGGAAUAGCUCCUGGAAACGGGUGGUAAUGCCGGAUGCUCCAGUUGAUCGCAUGGUCUUCUGGGAAAGCUUUCGCGGUAUGGGAUGGGGUCGCGUCCUAUCAGCUUGACGGCGGGGUAACGGCCCACCGUGGCUUCGACGGGUAGCCGGCCUGAGAGGGCGACCGGCCACAUUGGGACUGAGAUACGGCCCAGACUCCUACGGGAGGCAGCAGUGGGGAAUAUUGCACAAUGGGCGCAAGCCUGAUGCAGCGACGCCGCGUGAGGGAUGGAGGCCUUCGGGUUGUAAACCUCUUUUAUCGGGGAGCAAGCGAGAGUGAGUUUACCCGUUGAAUAAGCACCGGCUAACUACGUGCCAGCAGCCGCGGUAAUACGUAGGGUGCAAGCGUUAUCCGGAAUUAUUGGGCGUAAAGGGCUCGUAGGCGGUUCGUCGCGUCCGGUGUGAAAGUCCAUCGCUUAACGGUGGAUCCGCGCCGGGUACGGGCGGGCUUGAGUGCGGUAGGGGAGACUGGAAUUCCCGGUGUAACGGUGGAAUGUGUAGAUAUCGGGAAGAACACCAAUGGCGAAGGCAGGUCUCUGGGCCGUUACUGACGCUGAGGAGCGAAAGCGUGGGGAGCGAACAGGAUUAGAUACCCUGGUAGUCCACGCUGUAAACGUUGGGCACUAGGUGUGGGGGCCACCCGUGGUUUCUGCGCCGUAGCUAACGCUUUAAGUGCCCCGCCUGGGGAGUACGGCCGCAAGGCUAAAACUCAAAGGAAUUGACGGGGGCCC